CUACAUUACAGCUGAGCUAAGGAUAGUUUUGAUACAGGAAGUCUACUUUGCAGAAGUUAUAAAUUCUAACCAAUUGUAAAGGUAUGAUGUUUUCAAAAUAUUGUUAGUUGUUUUAUGAUUACUUGGCAUUUUUAGCCAAUACACAAGCUCCUAAUUUUGCCAUUUUCUUAAUACACGCACUAGUCAGAUCUAAACUAGAAAACAAAGUAUAGUUUCAUUGAAAGACAAUAUACUGAAAGGUUACAUUAAAAACUAUAUAAACUUCUCAAUAAAUUUGAAUAUUUAAAGCAAUUUACAAUCUAAACUAACAUUGAGAAUUUCCAAUGAACUCAUCAUAAAUACCAGGGUUAAAUUUUGUAUAUACGCCAGAUGCGCGUUUCGUCUACAAAAGACUCAUCAGUGACGUUCGAAUCCAAAGAAGUUAAAAAGGGCCGAAUUACGUACGAAGUUAAAGAACAUUGAUGACCAAAAUUUCUUAAAGUUUCCAAGCCAUUUCAUCUAGAGCACAAUAGAAAAGUAACAAUUGCGAUUAUUUGGUUAAAAAACCCAAGUGUUGAUUGCUCAAAGCUGAAGUAAUUCUAAAAAGUAAUUCUGAAAAAUCCGCACGAAGUUCAUCAACAUAUGUUAAUCUUGUUAACACAUCGUGUUCAAUAUAAUGGAACUUGAUGCGACUGUCAUACAAGUGGAUGUUAUCUAGUUAUAAAACCAGGUUCAAACAUAGUCUACAUACGGAAAUGCCUAUACGAAGUCAGGAAUAUGCCAGCUGUUACUUAUUCGUUUUGCGUGUUUGAGCAUUUGAUUUUGCCAUUUGAUUAGGGACUUUCCUUCUUUGAUUUUCUUCUGUGUUCAGUAUGUUUGUGAUUUUACUUUUAACAUGCGAUGCAUUAUUUGUUUACCGUUUUGUGAAAUAUUAUUUCCCUGGCGGAACACACAAUGUAAGGGAAUAAUUUGAGAUGAGAUCCUUAGAGCCAGAUGAGAUAAUGUUCUAAUGGCUAUUUGGCGUAAACCUCUUUACAUUUGAACUUAAAUUUAACGCCUGUAUUUAAUUUUCGAUAAGAAUAUUCUUAUAUCCAAGAGGUCACAAUAAAGUGUCAGAGUGUUUACCAAAUGUUUAUGUCUCUAAAAAUUAUGUAUUUGGUUCAACAUUGCAAGCCUAAUCUAUUAGUAUAAAUAUUGUUUUUCUUAAAAUUUUUAAGACAAGUAUAUUUAUGACAUAUUUCCCUUGAAAUAACGGUAAAUAUAUUCAACAUUUGUUUUCAUUUGAUAAAUUACAGUGUUACCUAUCGAUUAUUUGUAAGCAAAAAUACCUUGUUUUCUAACCUGUCCUGUUUUAACACAUUUUUGUUAAACCUCACACAAUUUGGAAUAGUUUGAUGUCCUUCUUUUAUAUUUCUAGCAACUAAUACAAAAUUUGUUUAUGAUUACAAAUUCAAAAAAAUUGUGUGUGUGUUAAGGAUGUAACUUUCGGACAAUAUAAAAUGCAACUUGCAUCCAGAUUUUUGUGUUUUCUUUAAAAAAAGAAAUGUAAUCGGGAUUAAACAUAUUUAGACCGUACAUGUAUUUCUUUAUAUUUGUUGUAGAUGUGGACAUCACUUUGGUUGUACCCUGUUCUUUUAUUGGUAGUUCCUUUAACUAACAUAGGAAGGUGUAACGAUGAACAGAGACAACAGGUCUUCUGUAGAGAAAUCAAUCAAAACUGCAGUACCAAUAUGAAUGAACUAGAUGUUGAAUGGGGCAAUUGUUUGUCGGCUUUAAGCCAACCCCAAUGUAGAGCCAACCCGCUGUGUAUGGUUGAUUCUAUGCCGUGUAUGUUAAACUUUACAGCUUUUUUGGGACAGUUGGAUUUAUAGCUUCUGAAUAAAACAUGGGAAAAUAAGAGUG
rnacentral:lncRNA from 1 species